UAUUCUCAACCUCUAAAGCUUUUGCGAUAGAGGCUUGGAUGUGGAGGUCGUGUUGGCGCAAGUCAACUCCUCUGAAAUGCAUUAGUGUGAAUCUUACGGAUCGCCUCCAGUGUGAUAAGUAUCUACGCUGUGGUGUUGAAGUAUAUAGGCAUUCAUGCUUCUAAUCGUCUCUUCAUUGAGACAAUUACUUGACA
rnacentral:misc_RNA from 1 species